GUGACCUCGAUCAGGUAGGGAUACCCGCUGAACUUAAGCAUAUCA
rnacentral:rRNA from 1 species